rnacentral:rRNA from 1 species
UGGGGAAUAUUGCACAAUGGGCGCAAGCCUGAUGCAGCCAUGCCGCGUGUGUGAAGAAGGCCUUCGGGUUGUAAAGCACUUUCAGCGAGGAGGAAGGUGGUGAGCUUAAUACGCUCAUCAAUUGACGUUACUCGCAGAAGAAGCACCGGCUAACUCCGGUGCCAGCAGCCGCGGUAAUACGGAGGGUGCAAGCGUUAAUCGGAAUUACUGGGCGUAAAGCGCACGCAGGCGGUUUGUUAAGUCAGAUGUGAAAUCCCCGGGCUCAACCUGGGAACUGCAUUUGAAACUGGCAAGCUAGAGUCUCGUAGAGGGGGGUAGAAAUUUCCAGGUGUAGCGGUGAAAUGCGUAGAGAUCUGGAGGAAUACCGGUGGCGAAGGCGGCCCCCCUGGACGAAGACUGACGCUCAGGU